AGAACGAACGCUGGCGGCAGGCCUCAAACAUGCAAGUCUAGGGGAUAGCAAUAUCACCGGCGGACGGGUGCGUAACGCGUGGGAAUGUACCUAUUGGUUCGGAACAACACAGGGAAACUUGUGCUAAUACCGAAUGUGCCCGUAAGGGGAAAGAUUUAUCGCCAAUAGAUCAGCCCGCGUUCGAUUAGCUAGUUGGUGAGGUAAUGGCUCACCAAGGCGACGAUCGAUAGCUGUUCUGAGAGGAAGAUCAGCCACACUGGGACUGAGACACGGCCCAGACUCCUACGGGAGGCAGCAGUUGGGAAUCUUGGACAAUGGGGGAAACCCUGAUCCAGCCAUGCCGCGUGAGUGAUGAAGGCCUUCGGGUUGUAAACUCUUUCGCGCACGACGAUAAUGACGGUAGUGCGAGAAGAAGCUCCGGCUAACUUCGCGCCAGCAGCCGC
rnacentral:rRNA from 1 species